rnacentral:lncRNA from 1 species
UAAUAAAUAACAUGAUAUUUAAAAUUAGUUUUAAAACAUGAAUUACUUGUAUAUUUCAAAAUAUUUAUAAAUUCUAUUAUUUUAAUAAUUCUUAAAAGUAAUUAAAAUCUGAAUCCUUAUUGUACAAACCCAAUAAUGCCCAGGCCCAAACCAUUAACAGGCCCAACAACUAAUUUUCAGACCCCAGCCCAAAAAACGUCAAAAUUUCAGAAACCCUAACAGCCCCUGCCUCAGCGCCGCAGCAACUGGUGCUGCAACUGCUCCCGCGCGUUGCGCUCGUCGAUCCCGCACAUCGCGCCCCUCGCCGCAGCGAAUCUCGCGCCUUCCCCGCACGCAGUACCUGCAGCAACGAACGCAAAUAUGCCAACAAAAACAGAAUAGAUUCUUUUUGGAUUUGUUCAUUUUUUUUCCAUUUUUCGGCUAUUUAAAGCCUUGAAAAAUCUGUAAAAAAUGGGGGGGGGGAUUCAGUCGAAAAUAUAUGCAAAGAAAUAGAGAGAAAAUAGAGAGAUCAAACUUGUUUUUGCAUAGGUGAUUUCUUCUUUGUUUCACUUCGCAGUGUCCCUUUAUUUAUUUAUUUAUGUUUUUAUUUUCUUUUAUUUUUUUCAUUUUAUUUCGUAUAAAAUAACAAAGAAAAAGAAAAGGAAAACAGACCUUUCGUUGGAGUCACCCAGUUGUUGCCGGCUUCGUCGUGAUCGGGGCUCUAGCAUAAGGCUGAACGGCGGCAUUUGGGGGUUGAAGAAACCCUAAGGAAACUGUUUCCUUUGCUGAAGGGGGAAACAAAAUUAACUUCUGAUUUUUGUUGUUAAAACCUAAAGAAGAAACAAGAAACGGCACCGUUUAGCUUUGGGGGGUCCGCGCAUCUCCACCUAAAUGGGGAAAUUGCGCAGUUAGCCCUCCCCCUUUUGUGACGCGUUUUAAUCAAGUUCUUUUUCCUCCUUAAAAUUUGGCCCAAAUAUUUUACCCGCGUGACAAUUUAAUCCAGUGCUGCGCAGCAUGUAGGAGGGAGGGAUUAAUUCCCCUUUUGGUCCUCCAUUGUUUCCUGCGCAAUCAAGUUGGUCCUAUUUUUUUUUAAUUUCUUUUAAAUUACCCCCAUUUUUUCGUUUUUAAUUCAAUUUAACCCAUUUUUUAGUUUUUAUUACAAUUACGCCAUACUAUUAUUUUGUUUUAUUUUAUUUACUACUCUAAUACUAUAUAUUAUUAUUAUUAUGCGC